ensembl:lncRNA
GGUAUUUUUGUCAUAUACAGAUAUGCAAUGAUGAUUGCUGGGUAAUAUAUAUCUUGUUGUCCAAUGUCAAGUCUCUUUUUGAUCAUGUGACGAGACGAUACGAUAUAGCUAGUUUAGGCGCAAAAUCUAAACGUCAAGACCGACAGGCUGACUGAGCACAGCCAAAGGCAAAGCACACCUGCAAGCCGUAGGAUGCCUUUCAAACAUAAAAGUGGUGAUGCAUGAUAUGCUUUUUCAAUGGACAGGAUAGCCCGCCCAUUCAGAGCUCCAUACUGCCCCUCAGGUAGCUCUUAAUGAGUUUCAAUUUGGAAAAGGAUCACUCGGCUGUUGCCACUGUCACAGAUGUCAGAAGCAAUAGCAGGGCAGUGCACACCUCGCCGAAGGUGGAUAUUACGGAGUAGACUUUGCAGGGACGUGCACAAGAGGGGGCUAAGGUUGCUUGGGCAACUGCCCGUUUGCCCUCCUCGACUGAAGUUGCCCCUCCGAAGGAAAUAUAUAUAUAUAUUUAAAUAGUAUUACGGCUGCAGAACUUCAUGUUCCUUUAACAACCUUAAUCCAUGCUCAUUUAUAGCACUACGAAAUGGUUAUUGUUUUUAUCAUCUAAUCGAAUCUGACCACCCGUUCCAUGGGUAAUUCUUUGCCUGUCCUCCACUGGCCCAUGAUGCAUUUUGGUGUUACCCACAGUGGCACACAAGGCUACUGGAGCUACAAAACAUCUCUUCAGUUUAUACACAUAUACACAUCAGACAAUAUUCACUGUUGCGUUCAGCAUCACUGGUAAGAAGGGAAGUUAUUGGUUAAAAAAAGAUACAGAUAAAAGUGCCUAAUGUAGCUUUAGAUUAGAUUAGAUUAGAUUCAACUUUAUUGUCAUUGCACAGAGCACAAGUACUGAGACAACGAAAUGCAGUUAAUUGCUAGUGGCAGGUUAGGCAUACUGGAGAUCGGGCACAUUUACCUGCAGGAACUGUACUUCAUCCUCUUUGCUAGCAAGCUGCUCCAUCUCAGCUGCUCUCGUCUUCAACACAUUGACCUCCUCCUGCCGCUGCUCUUCCCGACUCAGCUCAGCCUUCUCCUGAGCCCUGAUCAUCUCCGGCACCUCUGAGCGCAUCCGCUCAAAGAAGGCUAGCAGCUCCGUAAAGUUGCUCUCACUCACCUCCACUGAAGCCUUAGCAGAAGACUGUUACAAAUAAACACAUUAAAAACAGUGACAUGCUAUUUGCCAUCAGGAGCUUAUUUCAUAAAACUUACAACACUGUUGCUAAUGAAAAUCAAUAUUAGCCUACUGUUCUCGUAGAUUUAUAAAACUGCUGACUAAUUCACUACAUGCAACACUUACAAAACUCUGACUUAAUGGGUUACUACGGUAGGGUACUGCCCUAAAAACCAUGAAAACACAUGGUUAGCCUACUUAUAAACAGUAUAAAUCUGCUGCUUAUCACUUGUGAACGCAAGUGAAUGUCCUUUCAGCAGCACCACACCUGAAGAGAUUCAACGUUUUCCCUCAGCCUGUUCAGUUCACUUUCUCUCUCGGAGAUUUCUUUCUGUAGACUCUUUUGCAGUUUACGCUGUUGAAAACAGAAGAACAUCAUAAAGGCCUGUCCUCUACACUGGAG